rnacentral:rRNA from 2 species
AAAUUGAAGAGUUUGAUCAUGGCUCAGAUUGAACGCUGGCGGCAGGCCUAACACAUGCAAGUCGAGCGGUAGCACAGAGAGCUUGCUCUCGGGUGACGAGCGGCGGACGGGUGAGUAAUGUCUGGGAAACUGCCUGAUGGAGGGGGAUAACUACUGGAAACGGUAGCUAAUACCGCAUAACGUCGCAAGACCAAAGUGGGGGACCUUCGGGCCUCAUGCCAUCAGAUGUGCCCAGAUGGGAUUAGCUAGUAGGUGGGGUAACGGCUCACCUAGGCGACGAUCCCUAGCUGGUCUGAGAGGAUGACCAGCCACACUGGAACUGAGACACGGUCCAGACUCCUACGGGAGGCAGCAGUGGGGAAUAUUGCACAAUGGGCGCAAGCCUGAUGCAGCCAUGCCGCGUGUGUGAAGAAGGCCUUCGGGUUGUAAAGCACUUUCAGCGGGGAGGAAGGCGGUGAGGUUAAUAACCUCAUCGAUUGACGUUACCCGCAGAAGAAGCACCGGCUAACUCCGUGCCAGCAGCCGCGGUAAUACGGAGGGUGCAAGCGUUAAUCGGAAUUACUGGGCGUAAAGCGCACGCAGGCGGUCUGUCAAGUCGGAUGUGAAAUCCCCGGGCUCAACCUGGGAACUGCAUUCGAAACUGGCAGGCUAGAGUCUUGUAGAGGGGGGUAGAAUUCCAGGUGUAGCGGUGAAAUGCGUAGAGAUCUGGAGGAAUACCGGUGGCGAAGGCGGCCCCCUGGACAAAGACUGACGCUCAGGUGCGAAAGCGUGGGGAGCAAACAGGAUUAGAUACCCUGGUAGUCCACGCCGUAAACGAUGUCGAUUUGGAGGUUGUGCCCUUGAGGCGUGGCUUCCGGAGCUAACGCGUUAAAUCGACCGCCUGGGGAGUACGGCCGCAAGGUUAAAACUCAAAUGAAUUGACGGGGGCCCGCACAAGCGGUGGAGCAUGUGGUUUAAUUCGAUGCAACGCGAAGAACCUUACCUGGUCUUGACAUCCACAGAACUU